AUGAACUGAUCUUGAAUGGGUGUUUUUGGUUUUUUUUCGUUGCUAUGGUAGAGGCGAAGGGUUAGAGGAGAAAAGUUCUCAAAAGAAUCAAUAAAAGGGUGGUGGAGGAGGAGAUGCAUACGAGACUCCGAUGACGGGUGGCAAAGGCCCUUCAUAUACAGGUGCAGGUGGUGGAGAUGACGGUGGUGGCGGUGAAUUGUAAUGAUAAACAGGUGUUGGAGGUGGCGGUGAUGGUGGUGGUGGUGAAUUAUAUUGAAUUGGGGGAGGUGGUGGUGAUGGUGAUGGUGGCGGAUGGUAAGGUGCAGAGUGUGGUGAUGGUGGUGGUGGUGAAUGCUCUUCACAAGGUGGUGGAGGUGGUGGCGGAGGAGGUGACUCUAUACAAGGUGGUGGAGAUGGGGGUGGCGGUGGUGGUGAAUAAACUGGUGGGGGAGGAGAGUGAACUGGAGGAGGUGGUGGCGGUGAUAAAUAGGGAUAAACUGGUGGUGGUGGUGGUGGUGAAUGUGGUGGUGGCGGUGGCGAAUGAGGUGGAGGUGGCGGUGGAGAGGCGGCGAAUACACUGGUGGUGGAGGUGGUGGCGAAUACACCGGCGGUGGGGGUGGUGGAGGGGAAUGAGGAAUGUAAACAGGCGACGGCGGAGGCGGCGAUGGCAAUGGUGGUGAGGGAGGAGGAGGAGGAGGCAAUGAAGGCACAAAAGGCUUACACCUAAACGAAUUACAAUCGACAGGGUGCGACAAAAACGACUUACAUUGCCCAGCGGAGCGCUGGGCAGGCC
rnacentral:lncRNA from 1 species